rnacentral:lncRNA from 1 species
CAACUGGAUCUGAGAUUGAAUCUGAGCCGUUUAUCAGGCCAGAAUUGUUUUGAUCAAAUCCUAGCCGUCUGAAAUGCGAUUUGGACGAUUUCAGACUUGUUUCUAGCUAAUUUGAUCGUUCCGGAUGCAAUGGUAUGGUCCGAUCUUUGAGAUUUGAGACCAAAAAUGGUAGUGGUGAAUUAUUGAAAGAGAUUGCCCGAUGAAGAGGCAUCUGAAGGUCAUCAUGGUGGUCGAUGGAGAUGAAGAAGGAGAAAGUGCACAUGUUUACCCAAUUACAUGUGCUGAACUGCUAAGUUGAGAGAAUUUUAAUUGCUUUGAAGGAAGGCAAAAUUGGGACACUCUAGACACCCAAUCAAGUGGACGAUUUGAGGUGGAGAGUGGAAAUUGAUGAAGACCAAUCUUGAUGAAUCUAAGAACUGGUAGUCUCGCCAGAUGUUGAGAAAUCAGGUAUAAAACCAGGAUACCUCAGAUCACUUGUAAAGGAAAGCCGCAACAAAGCUAGCAAAUGGUUGUAUAUACGAAAAGGCAGUACGGUGGAUAGAUACGUUCUAAGAAGUUCUGUCUAGGAGAUUGGGUUUUAAGCGG